ensembl:lncRNA
AAAUAUUUCAAUGCCCAGCUAUAGUGUUUAACUUGGUUUAGGUUUUUCCUCCCCAGAAUAUUUGACAAGAUAUCAUCUGCAUGUUUUCGUCAUGGUGCUGAGGAUGUUCAUUUCUUUUUUCCCCAUUAAGGAAGAGGAUCUCUGAAUGCUGAAGACUGAAUAAAUUUCUGUUUGUGCUGUUGGGUUUUCUGGAACGUGUGAUCCUCCAAGAAACCCGUGCCUGUAAAUGCAAGUCAAAAGCUGGAAACAGCAGUAAGGUGGGAGUUGAAUUCUCUACAGAAAGCCCCUUUGUCUCUGAGCACAGAUUCAAGGGUGCAACUUAUGCUGCAGUAAUUUUAAAACUUUUGAGAAACUUCUUUAGAAGUUCUUGUAACUUACGCGUGCCUUUCCUGUUUUUGAACCUGCUCUGGCAUCAAAAUAGCAAAGCUUUAUCUGUAUCCCAGUGUGGGUCCAAAGAAAGAUCCUCUGAAAUCACUUCAGAAUUUACCAAAAAUUACCAUUCCACUCUUCUGCUGUGUUUAAAUUAUUCAGAGAGCAAACCCCUUUGAUCAGAGUGGUGUGCACCGUGUAGCUUUGCAUGCAUUUCCAAAAUGACAUGGAGCAAAGCAAAGUUAUUGCUGGGUGGCAUUAAUGCUGGUAGCUGGAAUAUCAGUUUCCACCUAGCAGUGUCUUAAAUGUUAGCAUCGGAUAAUAUGUAGGGCAAUUUGUAUGUCUCUUGCCAACAAUUUUAGAUCUCAUGUGAGAUCUGUUGCUGUUAGUCACUGGUGGCAGGUGGCAAUUUCAGUCGUAAAGCAUAUGCCAACAGUGAAGAGUUUGUGUUUCACAGGGAGUUUGAGAUGGCAUGCACUCAGAAACCCACUAGAUGGGGCUCACUGCAUCUCUUAAGGGGAAAAAGAAGGUCAGCUCGGCAAAAGAUCUUGAAAAAUCAGAUUCAGAAUGUCUUCAGCCAGUUGUUUAAUAUCAAAUAAUGCCUAAACAGUGAGGUAGCCAGGAUACCUAUAGCUCUUUAAUUUAAUCUUCUCAGAGUUCUUUUCUAUACAAGAGGUUUUCAAAGAUUAGACAGUUCCUCGUAGCUUAACAGUUAAUUGUCCUAGCUCAAAAUGUGCGUGGCUUUACUCCAGUUGUUUUUAUGGAGGAAAAGAGACUAAGAUUAAUUUAUUUUUUAUGGAGGAAAUCUUUGACGUGCUAUUUUUGACAUGGUAGAGAAGCUUUAAAGGGAAUUGGUGUUCCCCAGGCAGCUGUUAGCCAAAAUAUCUCUCUGGAAACUUUGCCUUCACCUAGCUCUGUAGGGAUUUAACCCAGUAGGUAAUGAAAAUCUGAUUAUUUUUGCAGAACAGACAAAACAAAAAUGGGGCAUUCACUGAUGAGGUGUGGAAUAGCAUGUCAAGGUUGGCUCUGGAACAUAGGCAGGGUGAUUCAAUCCCCAGGACCACUGCUGAGGUCAAGCACAGCCACCCUAGCAAUUGGAAAGUGAUACUAAUGAAAUAAAACAGCUGUCCUCCUCUCAGAGAGAGGAAACAUAGCAGAGGUAUUCACAGACCCAACAUCCGCUACGGCUCAGUUUAAGAUCAGUGAAGCCAAAUUGCUGGUAGAACUGCAAAACUUUUGGAUACCAGAAGGGGAUACCAGGAGGGCUCUGGUGUUGGACGGGGAUGGUUUCAUCUUGAAUUUCAAGUGAAUGUUAAAGGGAAUGAUGUUUCCUAGUAUGCUGAUGACUAGCAGUUGGAUGCAUCUGUUCUAUAACCAAACCCUGCUACUCCCCCUGCUUCCUUGGAAACUUUAUUCCUGUCUUCUGCUGAAUAAAUUUCAAAAAGUGUAGAUGAUUAAUCAAAGGAAUACUCAAGACUUAAAACUGUUGUUUGUAAAAUCCAUGAAUAACGUGAAGGUUGAGGCUAGAUGGGAAUCUCACUUCUUGUGUUUAUCCGAACUGCUGACAGCCUGGUAGCUUCUGGGAGGCAGAAUUUUCCCUUUCUUAAAAACAAGGGGAGGGAUAGGUCAUCAGGGUUGGAAACCGAGUAACCUUAAUGGAAGUUUCUGUGCCAUUAGCCCCAAACUUACUGAUGUUUAGGAGCCAGGUCUCCUGCUCCAGACUGCUUCUCGAGGUUGGUGGUCUGAAAAUUAAUGCACAGGGAGGAGCUGAGUUACAGCCUUCCUGCAUUCCUGGGGCUGAUGCUCUCCUUUGAUAUGUGGGAGUGUGCCUGAGGUUUCAGGUUGCAGAGGGGACACUGCAGAGCACUGACCGUAAACGCGAGCACCAAGGAGCUGGAAGUCAGAACUCACUAUAGCAUAAAACUUGUGUGAGGGGUGGACGCUAGGAUCUGUUGUAGCUUUUCUGCUAGAAAAAAACUCUUGAUGUCUUUGGCGUGGUGACUUAUCAGUGGUGAAGAAGUGUUAGCACCGAGUGGUGUUUUUUGGCUGGUUUUCUCUUAAUAGCACGUCAGUGCCUACAUUGGAAACCUCUGUCUUGCUUUGCAUCCAAUGCACUCUGCCAGCAGCCUCCUCUGAGAGCUCAGGGACUCAGCGCAGAGAAGUUUGUUUCUCCAAGUCGGAGUUUAGCUGCAGUGGGGGACUGUUUGGGGAAACUUGGAGAGCUUCUUGCUGUUUGAUGGAUGGGCAGGAUUUCAGGCCGUAGGUCUGUGACCAUUUAAUUGCUGUUAAACAGAAAUUUCUCCCCAAGAGACAGAGCCCUGAACUCUGCUGUUUGGUUCUGCUGAGCACCCGUGCGGUGCAGGGACCAGCCCCUGAGCCUGCUUUCCUCUGUGGAACUCCUGGGUUGGUCUGUAGAAGUCAUUUGUGUUACUUCACCCUCGAAGUGAUGAAACCAGGGCCAGGAUUUGGCUGGCUGGCUGCGGAGGAGGAGGGGAGCAGAGAGAAGAGGCAUUUCUCUGCGAGUCUGCAGUGCAAGCCAAGAGCUCUGUGGGAAGGUCCGAGCUAAUGCUCCCCACUGGCUGCCUUGGCCCAAGCCCGCGCCAAGCUCUUGCAGCAGACUAGACACAAAAGAAAACACACGCAGUCUAAAUUCAUUGGUAUGAAAGGGAUGUGCCAGAGUAUUCCACAGCUCUUCUUUUCUCGUUUCUCUUAGAUAAUUGUCAAUUUACAUAAAAAACAUGGAUUAUAAGGGGUUUUUUUCUUUUCAACCAUAGUUCAGGCUGCGUUGGCACUGCACAGAUCUGUGUUUAAUACCUCAGAUGCUUCAUGGCACACCUGAGAGCCUGUUCCAGAGCUUGCUAAAGGCUAUUGAAACAUUCACCACACCCUUCAUGAGCUGUAGGUAAGACACAGAAGAGAUCUGUAGCAGAAAUCUCUCAGAACUGGAGAGGACUGAGUGAUAAGAGAGAGGGCAAUCCACACUGGAGCGUGUUUGAGUUCAGCUUUAAUUCAGGAACACUGGCCACCUUUUUGUGGUCUCUCCGUGAAGAUUUCAGUGUUGGAGGCUUAGAGGCUUGCCUGCACCCAAAAAGUUUAUUGACAGGAGUACAUUUGGGUGUAAACACUGUGUUCUGUGCUGGCGAGGUCCUCAAUUGCUCUCUGGAAGUAGGGGGGGGGAAGCUGUAGGGGUUUGGUAGGGCAGUGAUGGGUCACUAUGUCUGACCCCUUCUGUGGCCAUCUGUGCUUUCAGCUAGGAGCAGCUUCUUACCCAGCAGUGUGCUGCUGAACGUGGAGGGGAACCGAACUGUUUCUGUCCCUCCUGGCCAUGCUGCCACGUUCCCUGACUUGUCAUCCUUAAAGCCCUCUUCCCCCCAUCUUGUCCCCACUCUGGGAGCCCUGCUGCUCCCUUUUAGUGCUUAUCCCUGCUGCUCUGCACCCCCUAACAGCCGCUGCCUCUCCCCAUCUCACAGUUCUGGUGCUGCUUGUGGGUC